rnacentral:rRNA from 3 species
UGCAAGUCGAACGAUGAACCUCCUUCGGGAGGGGAUUAGUGGCGAACGGGUGAGUAACACGUGGGCAAUCUGCCCUGCACUCUGGGACAAGCCCUGGAAACGGGGUCUAAUACCGGAUACUGACCCGCUUGGGCAUCCAAGCGGUUCGAAAGCUCCGGCGGUGCAGGAUGAGCCCGCGGCCUAUCAGCUUGUUGGUGAGGUAAUGGCUCACCAAGGCGACGACGGGUAGCCGGCCUGAGAGGGCGACCGGCCACACUGGGACUGAGACACGGCCCAGACUCCUACGGGAGGCAGCAGUGGGGAAUAUUGCACAAUGGGCGAAAGCCUGAUGCAGCGACGCCGCGUGAGGGAUGACGGCCUUCGGGUUGUAAACCUCUUUCAGCAGGGAAGAAGCGAAAGUGACGGUACCUGCAGAAGAAGCGCCGGCUAACUACGUGCCAGCAGCCGCGGUAAUACGUAGGGCGCGAGCGUUGUCCGGAAUUAUUGGGCGUAAAGAGCUCGUAGGCGGCUUGUCACGUCGGUUGUGAAAGCCCGGGGCUUAACCCCGGGUCUGCAGUCGAUACGGGCAGGCUAGAGUUCGGUAGGGGAGAUCGGAAUUCCUGGUGUAGCGGUGAAAUGCGCAGAUAUCAGGAGGAACACCGGUGGCGAAGGCGGAUCUCUGGGCCGAUACUGACGCUGAGGAGCGAAAGCGUGGGGAGCGAACAGGAUUAGAUACCCUGGUAGUCCACGCCGUAAACGGUGGGCACUAGGUGUGGGCGACAUUCCACGUCGUCCGUGCCGCAGCUAACGCAUUAAGUG